rnacentral:lncRNA from 1 species
GUUGUUUUGGCUGACAGAAGUGAUACGUUUUUUUUUCUUUCAAAUAUUUACUUCAGGAAUUUCUACAUUUCUAGUUUUAGCGCCUUUGGUCUGAUCAGUUUUUUCCACAUUUUGAGUUUUUUUCUUGCGAAAUAUUACUAAAGUCCUGCCUGUAGAGCUAACGCCCUGCGCUCUUGCAGCAUUCACCCCUUCCAGGCCCAUGAGAAAUGCCCCGUGGUGCAGGUACCCUGAUGAUGGGGGGAGAUGAGAUGGAUGAGGAGCACGGGGUUUCCAGCAGACCAGUGAGUGGCCCUGCUGCAGGAAGCGUCCAGAGCUGGAGCUGAGCUUGGCUCGGCAGGUGGAAAAGGAGCCUGUCCUUCCUGGCCCUGGGGCUGGGUCAGCCAGGAUAGCUGCUGAAGCUGGGUACAUAACACAGAGAUAUAAAUUCACAUGGAAGGGAUGGCAUUCACAUGGGCUUCUUUCCCUCAUUUUUACUUUCUCUCCAAAGGGAGACAGUAUGAGCAAAUAGAGCUUUUGUUGGUUUUUUUUUGGCAACUCAAAUAACCCAGAUGGUUGCUAUGUUCCAUUACUUAGUUACAGAAAGGCCAGACUUCAACUGCCAUCCACUUGCAGUGAGGAGUGGGCAGAUCUGUGGUUCCAGAGCUGCGUGCAUCCGUAGUGCCAGUGCAGGAGGAGGUUUCUCCCGUACAGCUGCUGUCCUGCUUAAGAGAGGAGAGAGGGAGAGAUCAUGCACAGAGCUCCCUGCGGAUGAAGGAAGCAGGAGGGCCGGCGGUGGAUGGGUCCUGAUGGCACUCCAUCACUGCUGCCCUCCCGCUCUGCGGCCCCGCUCAGGUUAGCAUCAGCCAGCAGAGCCAAAUUGGCGGUGUCACUGUUCCUGCUGCACAGCUGAGCGCCUUGUUUCACAAAUUAAAAAGUCUGUUCCCUCGACAGAUUUGUUUUUCCUGCAAGAAAGUCCAAUUUAGAGCAUUAAUUAAAGGUACUCUCAGAAAUGUACUGUAUGGGAAUCAAGCAGGCUUUGCUUUUUCCAGCUCUGGGGUUGAGUGGAGAUGACACAUGAUUUCCUUCUGGCCACCGUAACAAGGAGCUCCUCAGGACGUGGCCAGCAGUAUUUCAGUCCCUCUCUGGCCGAAAGAAUAAAGCAGUAGGGUAACUGUGGUGCUGCUGAGGG